GCCCAUGGCCAUAACGGAUCGUAUAUUCUACAGCUUUUAGUCUGAUAUUCUAUCAACUGUGGCACUUAUUGAUUUCUUACUAAUUAUUUUAUCUGCAUAAACUCACAGCAGCAAUGAGAUACGCUAUCUUCACCAUACUCUUAGCAACCCUCCUACACGUCGCUACUUCCAACCCUCAAUGCAGUAAGAAAAGCCUCAAGUGUAGGAGCACACUGGCAAGGAACUAUAUGGGAUGUCUAGUGAAGGGGUUCAAGUCUAAACGUCAUUGCCAGCCUCCUACAGUAAUGAACCUGCCUUUUGAAUCAGACUGUUGCACGAUCAUUGAGAAGAAACUGUUCAAGUGUAUGGACAAAGGACAGGUUACGUUUAACUGCAACGCCUACAAGGAUGAGAAAGAAGAUUAUUAAUCUUAGAAGAUAUCCCAAGCAGAGUUUAAAGUAGUAUCACCUUGCCAUGAUCUUAAACUGGAAAUUGUGAGACUUGCUGGAAAUGUGAUUCAAUUGUUACAACUUUAUUUAAUAUUUUGACUCGUUUAUUAAAUGGUUUUCAGUGUUACACAAUAUGAUAUUUUUUAACAAUUGCAUUUAAUAGACAA